rnacentral:rRNA from 1 species
CAAUGGCGUAAACAAAGGGAGGCGAAGUGGUGACAUGGAGCGAACCCCAAAAAUAACGUCCCAGUUCGGAUUGUAGUCUGCAACCCGACUACAUGAAGCUGGAAUCGCUAGUAAUCGCGGAUCAGAAUGCCGCGGUGAAUACGUUCCCGGGUCUUGUACACACCGCCCGUCACACCAUGGGAGUCAGUAACGCCCGAAGUCAGUGACCCAACCUUAGGGAGGGAGCUGCCGAAGGCGGGACGGAUAACUGGGGUGAAGUCGUAACAAGGUAAC